rnacentral:rRNA from 1 species
UCCCAGACUCCUACGGGAGGCAGCAGUGGGGAAUAUUGCACAAUGGGGGAAACCCUGAUGCAGCGACGCCGCGUGAGUGAAGAAGUAUUUCGGUAUGUAAAGCUCUAUCAGCAGGGAAGAAAAUGACGGUACCUGACUAAGAAGCCCCGGCUAACUACGUGCCAGCAGCCGCGGUAAUACGUAGGGGGCAAGCGUUAUCCGGAUUUACUGGGUGUAAAGGGAGCGUAGACGGCAUGGCAAGUCAGAUGUGAAAGCCCGGGGCUCAACCCCGGGACUGCAUUUGAAACUGUCAGGCUGGAGUGCAGGAGAGGUAAGUGGAAUUCCUAGUGUAGCGGUGAAAUGCGUAGAUAAUAGGAGGAACACCAGUGGCGAAGGCGGCUUACGGGACUGUAACUGACGUUGAGGCUCGAAAGCGUGGGGAGCAAACAGGAUUAGAUACCGUAC